CAGAUAUAUCUGGAGCGACGACUUCACCAACUCCUACCUUGGAUGCUGCACAAAAGCCCAGCUCCCAUCACAGGAGUCCUCUGACAGGAGAGACCAAAGACAUGGCAGGCAAGAAAUUCCAGGACCCAUUAGAAAUCAUGUGGCAAAUGCAGAAGGAAUGUCUGCAGAGAAGACAAGAAAUGAACGGAGAGCCUGUGCAGAAGGAAGCAUUUCCCGGAGGAAGCAGUGGUUCCGUGCCAGCCUCAGCUCCAGGAAGGGAGGCCAUGCCAGGCACAGGCACAGGAG